GAUGAACGCUGACAGAAUGCUUAACACAAGCAAGUCAACUGGGUCGGACGGGUGAGUAACGCGUAAAGAACUUGCCUCACAGCCAGGGACAACAUAUGGAAACGAAUGCUAAUACCUGCUACUGUGAGAGAGCUUUGCGUCCCAUUAGCUAGUUGGAGAGGUAACGGCUCACCAAGGCGAUGAUGGGUAGCCGGCCUGAGAGGGUGAUCGGCCACAAGGUGACUGAGACACUGCCCUUCUUCCUACGGGAGGCAGCAGUGGGGAAUAUUGAACAAUGGACCAAAGUCUGAGCCAGCUAUUCGGUGUGCACGAUUAAGUUUUCGGAAUGUAAAGUGCUUUCAGUUUGGAAGCGGUACCAACAGAAGAAGUGACGGCUAAAGACGUGCCAGCAGCCGCGGUAAUUC
rnacentral:rRNA from 1 species